CCUACGGGUGGCAGCAGUGAGGAAUAUUGGUCAAUGGACGAGAGUCUGAACCAGCCAAGUAGCGUGAAGGAUGACUGCCCUAUGGGUUGUAAACUUCUUUUAUAAAGGAAUAAAACGAGGCACGUGUGCCUUUUUGCAUGUACUUUAUGAAUAAGGAUCGGCUAACUCCGUGCCAGCAGCCGCGUUAAUACGGAGGAUCCGAGCGUUAUCCGGAUUUAUUGGGUUUAAAGGGAGCGUAGAUGGGUUGUUAAGUCAGUUGUGAAAGUUUGCGGCUCAACCGUAAAAUUGCAAUUGAUACUGGCAGUCGUGAGUACAGUUGAGGUAGGCGGAAUUCGUGGUGUAGCGGUGAAAUGCUUAGAUAUCACGAAGAACCCCGAUUGCGAAGGCAGCUUACUAAACUGUGACUGACAUUGAUGCUCGAAAGUGUGGGUAUCAAACAGGAUUAGAUACCCCUGUAGUC
rnacentral:rRNA from 1 species